CCUGCCCCUAGAGGCAUUGCAGUUGUGGCAGCAGUGUCACAUGUGUGUCAGUAGGUGGCAGAGAGGAGAGAGGCUGUGUCUAUGCUCAGUGUCCUGACCUGUGAACAGCUGAAUAAUUAGUAACCUAAUAUU